UGUAGGAAUUAUUAGGGUUUGGUUUAGGAUUUGGUUUAGGAUUUAGGAUUUGGAUUAGGGUUUGAUUUAGGGUUUAGGAUUUAAUUAGGAUUUUAUUUAGGGUUUAAGAUUUAAUUAGGGUUUGAUUUAGAAUUUAGAAUUUAGUUAGGAUUUGGUUUAGAGUUUAGGAUUUGAAUUAGGACUUGGUUUAGGGUUUAGGAUUUGGAUUAGGGUUUGAUUUAGGAUUUGGUUAGGAUUUAGUUUAGAAUUUGGUUGAGAUUUGGUUUAAGAUUUUUUUAGGAUUUGAUUUAGGAUUUAGGAUUUUAUUAGGAUUUAAGAUUCAAUUAGUUUUGGCCUAAAGUUUGAAUGAAGUUGAAUAGGAUUUUAACUAGAAUUAAAUUAAGAUUGAAUUGAGAUGUAUUUGAGUGAUAUUUUUGAUCCUUUUAAUAUUUCUUUAAGAAUUCUUAUUGUUUUUUUGAAAUUUUUUUGAGAUUUCUUUGAAUUUGAUUAAGCUUAUUUA
rnacentral:lncRNA from 1 species